rnacentral:rRNA from 1 species
CCUACGGGAGGCAGCAGUAGGGAAUAUUGCUCAAUGGGGGAAACCCUGAAGCAGCACCGCCGCGUGGGGGAUGAAGGUUUUAGGAUUGUAAACUCCUUUUGUUGGAGAGGAUUAUGACGGUAUCUAACGAAUAAGACCCGGCUAACUCCGGGCCAGCAGCCCCGGUAAUACGGAGGGGGCAAGCGUUCCUGGGAAUCACUGGGAGUAAAGAGUCCGUAGGCGGGGUAAUAAGUCAGAUGUGAAAUCCUGUGGCUUAACUACAGAACUGCAUUUGAAACUGGUACUCUGGAGUGUGGGAGAGGUAGGUGGAAUUCUUGGUGUAGGGGUAAAAUCCGUAGAGAUCAAGAGGAAUACUCAUUGCGAAGGCGACCUGCUGGAACAUUACUGACGCUGAUGCACGAAAGCGUGGGGAGCAAACAGGAUUAGAUACCCUAGUAGUC